UACAGAGGGUGCGAGCGUUAAUCGGAAUUACUGGGCGUAAAGGGCGCGUAGGCGGUUAUAUGAGUGUGAUGUGAAAGCCCCGGGCUUAACCUGGGAAGUGCAUUGCAAACUGUAUAGCUGGAGUAUAUGAGAGGGUGGCGGAAUUUCCGGUGUAGCGGUGAAAUGCGUAGAGAUCGGAAGGAACGUCAAUGGCGAAGGCGGCCCCCUGGGCCAACACUGACGCUCAGGCACGAAAGCGUGGGGAGCAAACAGG
rnacentral:rRNA from 1 species